rnacentral:rRNA from 1 species
GAUGAACGCUGGCGGCGUGCCUAAUACAUGCAAGUCGAGCGAACGGACGAGAAGCUUGCUUCUCUGAUGUUAGCGGCGGACGGGUGAGUAACACGUGGAUAACCUACCUAUAAGACUGGGAUAACUUCGGGAAACCGGAGCUAAUACCGGAUAAUAUUUUGAACCGCAUGGUUCAAAAGUGAAAGACGGUCUUGCUGUCACUUAUAGAUGGAUCCGCGCUGCAUUAGCUAGUUGGUAAGGUAACGGCUUACCAAGGCAACGAUGCAUAGCCGACCUGAGAGGGUGAUCGGCCACACUGGAACUGAGACACGGUCCAGACUCCUACGGGAGGCAGCAGUAGGGAAUCUUCCGCAAUGGGCGAAAGCCUGACGGAGCAACGCCGCGUGAGUGAUGAAGGUCUUCGGAUUGUAAAACUCUGUUAUUAGGGAAGAACAUAUGUGUAAGUAACUGUGCACAUCUUGACGGUACCUAAUCAGAAAGCCACGGCUAACUACGCGCCAGCAGCCGCGGUAAUACGUAGGUGGCAAGCGUUAUCCGGAAUUAUUGGGCGUAAAGCGCGCGUAGGCGGUUUUUUAAGUCUGAUGUGAAAGCCCACGGCUCAACCGUGGAGGGUCAUUGGAAACUGGAAAACUUGAGUGCAGAAGAGGAAAGUGGAAUUCCAUGUGUAGCGGUGAAAUGCGCAGAGAUAUGGAGGAACACCAGUGGCGAAGGCGACUUUCUGGUCUGUAACUGACGCUGAUGUGCGAAAGCGUGGGGAUCAAACAGGAUUAGAUACCCUGGUAGUCCACGCCGUAAACGAUGAGUGCUAAGUGUUAGGGGGUUUCCGCCCCUUAGUGCUGCAGCUAACGCAUUAAGCACUCCGCCUGGGGAGUACGACCGCAAGGUUGAAACUCAAAGGAAUUGACGGGGACCCGCACAAGCGGUGGAGCAUGUGGUUUAAUUCGAAGCAACGCGAAGAACCUUACCAAAUCUUGACAUCCUUUGACAACUCUAGAGAUAGAGCCUUCCCCUUCGGGGGACAAAGUGACAGGUGGUGCAUGGUUGUCGUCAGCUCGUGUCGUGAGAUGUUGGGUUAAGUCCCGCAACGAGCGCAACCCUUAAGCUUAGUUGCCAUCAUUAAGUUGGGCACUCUAAGUUGACUGCCGGUGACAAACCGGAGGAAGGUGGGGAUGACGUCAAAUCAUCAUGCCCCUUAUGAUUUGGGCUACACACGUGCUACAAUGGACAAUACAAAGGGCAGCGAAACCGCGAGGUCAAGCAAAUCCCAUAAAGUUGUUCUCAGUUCGGAUUGUAGUCUGCAACUCGACUACAUGAAGCUGGAAUCGCUAGUAAUCGUAGAUCAGCAUGCUACGGUGAAUACGUUCCCGGGUCU